CCUACGGGAGGCAGCAGUAAGGAAUAUUGGACAAUGGACGCAAGUCUGAUCCAGCCAUGCCGCGUGAAGGAUUAAGGCCCUCUGGGUUGUAAACUUCUUUUAUAGGGGACGAAAAAAGGGCUUUCUAGCUCGACUGACGGUACCCUAUGAAUAAGCACCGGCUAACUCCGUGCCAGCAGCCGCGGUAAUACGGAGGGUGCAAGCGUUAUCCGGAUUCACUGGGUUUAAAGGGUGCGUAGGCGGGCAUUUAAGUCAGUGGUGAAAUCUUCAAGCUCAACUUGGAAACUGCCAUUGAUACUAUUUGUCUUGAAUAUUGUGGAGGUGAGCGGAAUAUGUCAUGUAGCGGUGAAAUGCUUAGAUAUGACAUAGAACNCCGAUUGCGAAGGCAGCUCGCUACACAAAUAUUGACGCUGAGGCACGAAAGCGUGGGGAUCAAACAGGAUUAGAUACCCUGGUAGUCCACGACCCUAACCUACUAGAUACUCGACAUUGUCGAUACACAGUAAGUAGUCGUGAGNGAAAGACGAUUAAGUUAAGUAACCUACCGUACGGUUAAGGUUAACGUACCGACGAAGGUUAGGUUAACGUUACGAAGUAGAAGUUAGUUACGGCGUUGAGACGUUGCCGACGGACGACCGACCGACGGGGAGGUUAAGGAG
rnacentral:rRNA from 1 species